rnacentral:rRNA from 1 species
AUUGAACGCUGGCGGCAGGCCUAACACAUGCAAGUCGAACGAGUGGCGGAAGGGUGAGUACUGUCUGGGAAACUGCCUGAUGGAGGGGGAUAACUACUGGAAACGGUAGCUAAUACCGCAUACCAUCGGAUGUGCCCAGAUGGGAUUAGCUAGUAGGUGGGGUAACGGCGCACCUAGGCGCCGAUCCCUAGCUGGUCUGACAGGAUGACCAGCCACCUUGGAACUGAGACACGGUCCAGACUCCUACGGGAGGCAGCAGUGGGGAAUAGUGCAAAAUGGGCGCAAUCCUGAUGCAGCCAUGCCGCGUGUAUGAAGAAGGCCUUCGGGUUGUAAAGUACUUUCAGCGGGGAAGCGUUACCCGCAGAAGAAGCACCGGCUAACUCCGUGCCAGCAGCCGCGGUAAUUC